GAUGAACGCUGGCGGCGUGCCUAAUACAUGCAAGUCGAGCGAACAGACGAGGAGCUUGCUCCUCUGACGUUAGCGGCGGACGGGUGAGUAACACGUGGAUAACCUACCUAUAAGACUGGGAUAACUUCGGGAAACCGGAGCUAAUACCGGAUAAUAUAUUGAACCGCAUGGUUCAAUAGUGAAAGACGGUUUUGCUGUCACUAAUAGAUGGAUCCGCGCCGCAUUAGCUAGUUGGUAAGGUAACGGCUUACCAAGGCAACGAUGCGUAGCCGACCUGAGGGGAUGAUCAGCCACACUGGAACUGAGACACGGUCCAGACUCCUACGGGAGGCAGCAGUAGGGAAUCUUCCGCAAUGGGCGAAAGCUUGACGGAGCAACGCCGCGUGAGUGAUGAAGGUCUUCGGAUCGUAAAACUCUGUUAUUAGGGAAGAACAAAUGUGUAAGUAACUAUGCACGUCUUGACGGUACCUAAUCAGAAAGCCACGGCUAACUACGUG
rnacentral:rRNA from 1 species